UACGAAGGGGGCUAGCGUUGCUCGGAAUUACUGGGCGUAAAGCGCACGUAAGCGGCUUUCUAAGUCGGGGUGAAAUCCUGGAGCUCAACUCCAGAACUGCCUUCGAUACUGGAAAGCUCGAGUCCGGGAGAGGUGAGUGGAACUGCGAGUGUAGAGGUGAAAUUCGUAGAUAUUCGCAAGAACACCAGUGGCGAAGGCGGCUCACUGGCCCGGUACUGACGCUGAGGUGCGAAAGCGUGGGGAGCAAACAGGG
rnacentral:rRNA from 1 species